GCACUAGUAGCUCAGCGCCAGAGCACCGGCCUUGUAAGCCGACCGCCGGGGGUUAAAAUCCCCCCUAAUGCU
rnacentral:tRNA from 1 species